rnacentral:rRNA from 1 species
UUAACACAUGCAAGUCGAGCGGGCGUAGCAAUACUUCAGCGGCAGACGGGUGAGUAACGCGUGGGAAGGUACCUUUUGGUUCGGAACAACACAGGGAAACUUGUGCUAAUACCGGAUAAGCCCUUACGGGGAAAGAUUUAUCGCCGAAAGAUCGGCCCGCGUCUGAUUAGCUAGUUGGUAGGGUAACGGCCUACCAAGGCGACGAUCAGUACCUGGUCUGAGAGGAUGAUCAGCCACAUUGGGACUGAGACACGGCCCAAACUCCUACGGGAGGCAGCAGUGGGGAAUAUCGGACAAUGGGGGCAACCCUGAUCCAUCCAUGCCGCGUGAGUGAUGAAGGCCCUAGGGUUGUAAAGCUCUUUUGUGCGGGAAGAUAAUGACGGUACCGCAAGAAUAAGCCCCGGCUAACUUCGUGCCAGCAUCCGCGGUAAUACGAAGGGGGCUAGCGUUGCUCGGAAUCACUGGGCGUAAAGGGUGCGUAGGCGGGUCUUUAAGUCACGGGUGAAAUCCUGGAGCUCAACUCCAGAACUGCCUUUGAUACUGAAGACCUUGAGUUCGGGAGAGGUGAGUGGAACUGCGAGUGUAGAGGUGAAAUGCAUAGAUAUUCGCAAGAACACCAGUGGCGAAGGCGGCUCACUGGCCCGAUACUGACGCUGAGGCACGAAAGCGUGGGGAGCAAACAGGAUUAGAUACCCUGGUAGUCCACGCCGUAAACUACGAAUGCCAGCCGUUAGUGGGUUUACUCACUAGUGGCGCAGCUAACGCUUUAAGCAUUCCGCCUGGGGAGUACGGUCGCAAGAUUAUAACUCAAAGGAAUUGACGGGGGCCCGCACAAGCGGGGGAGCAUGUGGUUUAAUUCGACGCAACGCGCAGAACCUUACCAGCCCUUGACAUGUCCAGGACCGGUCGCAGAGAUGUGACCUUCUCUUCGGAUCCUG